GGCUAACGCUGGCGGCGUGUCUUAGCCAUGCAAGUCGAGCGGACUUAUGGGGUAACUUAUAAGUCAGCGGCGGACGGCGGAGUAACACGUAGCUAACCUACCCUCUGGACGGGGAUAACCUACCGAAAGGUGGGCUAAUACCCGAUGUAGUCAUCCUGUAUAGGGGUGAUGAAAGGUGGGCUUCUGUUUACAAGCUCAUGCUGGAGGAGGGGGCUGCGGCCUAUCAGGUAGUUGGUAGGGUAAUAGCCUACCAAGCCGAUGACGGGUAGCCGGCCUGAGAGGGUGACCGGCCCGAGGGGCACUGAGAUACGGGUCCCACUCCUACGGGAGGCAGCAGGCUAGAAAUUUGGGCAAUGGGGGAAACCCUGACCCAGUGACGCCGCGUGGAGGACGAAGCCCUUCGGGGUGUAAACUCCUUUUCUCAGGGAAAAAGGAUGAUGGUACCUGAGGAAUAAGCCCCGGCUAACUACGUG
rnacentral:rRNA from 1 species